UUAGAGUUUGAUCCUGGCUCAGAUUGAACGCUGGCGGCAGGCCUAACACAUGCAAGUCGAGCGGAUGAAGAGAGCUUGCUCUCUGAUUCAGCGGCGGACGGGUGAGUAAUGCCUAGGAAUCUGCCUGGUAGUGGGGGACAACGUUUCGAAAGGAACGCUAAUACCGCAUACGUCCUACGGGAGAAAGCAGGGGACCUUCGGGCCUUGCGCUAUCAGAUGAGCCUAGGUCGGAUUAGCUAGUAGGUGAGGUAAUGGCUCACCUAGGCGACGAUCCGUAACUGGUCUGAGAGGAUGAUCAGUCACACUGGAACUGAGACACGGUCCAGACUCCUACGGGAGGCAGCAGUGGGGAAUAUUGGACAAUGGGCGAAAGCCUGAUCCAGCCAUGCCGCGUGUGUGAAGAAGGUCUUCGGAUUGUAAAGCACUUUAAGUUGGGAGGAAGGGCAGUAAGUUAAUACCUUGCUGUUUUGACGUUACCAACAGAAUAAGCACCGGCUAACUUCGUGCCAGCAGCCGCGGUAAUACGAAGGGUGCAAGCGUUAAUCGGAAUUACUGGGCGUAAAGCGCGCGUAGGUGGUUCAGCAAGUUGGAGGUGAAAUCCCCGGGCUCAACCUGGGAACUGCCUCCAAAACUAUUGAGCUAGAGUACGGUAGAGGGUAGUGGAAUUUCCUGUGUAGCGGUGAAAUGCGUAGAUAUAGGAAGGAACACCAGUGGCGAAGGCGACUACCUGGACUGAUACUGACACUGAGGUGCGAAAGCGUGGGGAGCAAACAGGAUAAGAUACCCUGGUAGUCCACGCCGUAAACGAU
rnacentral:rRNA from 1 species